GUCGCCUCGGGGAGUGAUUCGUUCAGUCGCGCAUGCGCAACAUCCUAUUAGGUUCUGUACUGGAAUUAGUUCACCUGUUUUAGAGUCGUUCGUUCACCUUAUGGGGCUGUCACGUGAUGAACGAACGACUCAAACCCGAAGACUCAAAAGAUGAACUAAUCAAUUCUCCUUCCGGCUCAGACUGCAUAGGUUAACAUUACGGGGAUGUCACGUGAUGAACGAACGACUCAAACCCGAAGACUCAAAA